rnacentral:rRNA from 1 species
UACGGAGGGUGCAAGCGUUAUCCGGAUUUACUGGGUUUAAAGGGUGCGUAGGUGGGUAGGAAAGUCAGUGGUGAAAUCUUCGGGCUUAACCCGGAAACUGCCAUUGAUACUAUUUAUCUUGAAUACUCUGGAGGUAAGCGGAAUAUGUCAUGUAGCGGUGAAAUGCGUAGAGAUCCGGAGGGACACCAGUGGCGAAGGCGACACGCUGGGCCGUACCUGACACUGAUGCGCGACAGCAUGGGGAGCAAACAGG